rnacentral:lncRNA from 1 species
CAUCCAACGCCGAAAAUUGAUUGGUCGUCCGCACUCUAGGUGUACGCGCACCAGCAGGAUAAGUGGAGAAUUAUUUUUACUAAUAAUUCUUGUCGGUGAUGGAGACGUGCACGGAUCUCAAAGCAAGUGGGAAGAUAUGCUGCAGGGUCUUCUUUGAAGUGGCUGCCGAUUUAGUCAAAGAUCCCUGGACAUUUAGACAGCGUACCGAGUCCGUACGCUUCUCACCCAUCUCAAUAAAUAAAUAAAUAAAUAAAAUAUUAUUUUGAGAUAUAAAUAUAAAGAGGGAUUAUAUCCGUG